rnacentral:rRNA from 1 species
AGACCCGAAACCCGGUGAUCUAGCCAUGGGCAGGUUGAAGGUUGGGUAACACUAACUGGAGGACCGAACCGACUAAUGUUGAAAAAUUAGCGGAUGACCUGUGGCUGGGGGUGAAAGGCCAAUCAAACCGGGAGAUAGCUGGUUCUCCCCGAAAGCUAUUUAGGUAGCGCCUCGUGAAUUCAUCUCCGGGGGUAGAGCACUGUUUCGGCUAGGGGGCCAUCCCGGCUUACCAACCCGAUGCAAACUGCGAAUACCGGAGAAUGUUAUCACGGGAGACACACGGCGGGUGCUAACGUCCGUCGUGAAGAGGGAAACAACCCAGACCGCCAGCUAAGGUCCCAAAGUCAUGGUUAAGUGGGAAACGAUGUGGGAAGGCCCAGACAGCCAGGAUGUUGGCUUAGAAGCAGCCAUCAUUUAAAGAAAGCGUAAUAGCUCACUGGUCGAGUCGGCCUGCGCGGAAGAUGUAACGGGGCUAAACCAUGCACCGAAGCUGCGGCAGCGACACUCAGGUGUUGUUGGGUAGGGGAGCGUUCUGUAAGUCUGCGAAGGUGGCCUGUGAGGGUUGCUGGAGGUAUCAGAAGUGCGA